UCAGCCAUUUAAUCGCAACAAUGGUUAUUUUCUACUAAUCAUAAAGAUAUUGGUACUUUAUAUUUUAUCUUCGGAGCAUGAUCUGGUAUAGUAGGAACAUCAUUAAGAAUUUUAAUUCGAGCUGAAUUAGGACACCCUGGUGCUCUAAUUGGAGACGAUCAAAUUUAUAAUGUUAUUGUAACAGCUCAUGCUUUUAUUAUAAUUUUCUUUAUAGUAAUACCUAUUAUAAUUGGAGGGUUUGGAAAUUGAUUAGUUCCUUUAAUAUUAGGAGCUCCAGAUAUAGCAUUCCCUCGAAUGAAUAAUAUAAGUUUUUGAUUAUUACCUCCUGCAUUAACUCUAUUAUUAGUAAGAAGUAUAGUAGAAAAGGGAGCUGGAACAGGUUGAACUGUUUAUCCACCUUUAUCAUCAAUUAUUGCUCAUGGUGGAGCUUCAGUUGAUUUAGCUAUUUUCUCUCUUCACUUAGCAGGAAUUUCUUCAAUUUUAGGAGCAGUAAAUUUUAUUACAACUGUUAUUAACAUACGAUCAACAGGAAUUACAUUCGAUCGAAUGCCUUUAUUUGUUUGAUCAGUUGUAAUUACUGCAUUAUUAUUAUUAUUAUCUCUUCCUGUUCUUGCUGGAGCUAUUACUAUACUAUUAACUGAUCGAAAUUUAAAUACUUCAUUCUUUGACCCAGCUGGAGGAGGUGAUCCAAUUCUUUACCAACACUUAUUCUGAUUCUUUGGACAUCCAGAAGUUUAUAUUUUAAUUUUACCUGGAUUUGGAAUAAUUUCUCAUAUUAUUAGUCAAGAAUCAGGAAAGAAGGAAACAUUCGGUUCUUUAGGAAUAAUUUAUGCUAUGUUAGCAAUUGGACUUUUAGGAUUUAUUGUAUGAGCUCAUCACAUAUUUACUGUUGGAAUAGACGUUGAUACUCGAGCUUACUUCACUUCAGCUACAAUAAUUAUUGCUGUACCUACUGGAAUUAAGAUUUUUAGUUGAUUAGCUACAUUAUACGGAACUCAACUAACUUAUUCUCCAGCUAUUUUAUGAGCUUUAGGAUUCGUAUUCUUAUUUACUGUAGGAGGUUUAACAGGAGUAGUACUAGCUAACUCAUCUGUUGAUAUUAUUUUACAUGAUACAUAUUAUGUAGUUGCUCAUUUCCACUAUGUACUUUCUAUAGGAGCUGUAUUUGCUAUUAUAGCAGGAUUUGUACAUUGAUACCCUCUAUUUACUGGAUUAACUCUAAAUAAUAAACUUUUAAAAAGUCAAUUUGUUAUUAUAUUUAUUGGAGUAAAUUUAACAUUCUUUCCUCAACAUUUCUUAGGAUUAGCCGGAAUACCUCGACGAUAUUCUGAUUAUCCUGAUGCUUAUACAGCAUGAAAUGUAAUUUCAACAAUCGGUUCAACAAUUUCAUUAUUAGGAAUUUUAUAUUUAUUCUAUAUUAUCUGAGAAAGUUUAGUAUCUCAACGACAAGUAAUUUUCCCAAUUCAAUUAAAUUCAUCAAUUGAAUGAUUACAAAAUACUCCACCUGCUGAACACAGAUAUAAUGAAUUGCCUUUACUAACUAAUUUCUAAUAUGGCAGAUUAGUGCAAUGGAUUUAAGCUCCAUAUAUAAAGUAUUUUACUUUUAUUAGAAACUAAUGUCAACAUGAGCAAAUUUAGGUUUACAAGAUAGUUCUUCUCCAUUAAUAGAACAAUUAAUUUUUUUUCAUGAUCAUGCAUUAAUAAUUUUAGUAAUAAUUACAGUAUUAGUCGGAUAUUUAAUGUUUACAUUAUUUUUUAAUAAAUAUGUUAAUCGUUAUUUAUUACAUGGACAAACAAUUGAAAUUAUUUGAACUAUUUUACCUGCAAUUAUUUUAUUAUUCAUUGCUUUCCCUUCUUUACGAUUAUUAUACUUAUUAGAUGAAAUUAAUGAACCAUCAGUAACUUUAAAGGCUAUUGGUCAUCAAUGAUAUUGAAGUUAUGAAUAUUCAGAUUUUAAUAAUGUUGAAUUUGAUUCUUAUAUAAUUCCUACAAAUGAAUUACCAGUAGACGGAUUUCGUUUAUUAGAUGUAGAUAAUCGAGUAGUUUUACCAAUAAAUUCUCAAAUUCGAAUUUUAGUAACUGCUGCUGAUGUAAUUCAUUCAUGAACUGUUCCUGCUUUAGGUGUAAAGGUUGAUGGUACUCCUGGUCGUCUAAAUCAAACUAAUUUCUUAAUUAAUCGACCAGGUUUAUUCUAUGGACAAUGUUCAGAAAUUUGUGGAGCUAAUCAUAGUUUUAUACCAAUUGUAAUUGAAAGUAUUCCUGUAAAUUAUUUUAUUAAGUGAAUUUCUAAAAAUAAUUCUUCAUUAGAUGACUGAAAGCAAGUACUGGUCUCUUAAACCAUUUUAUAGUAAAUUAGCACUUACUUCUAAUGAAAAAAUUAGUUAAAAAUAUAACAUUAGUUUGUCAAACUAAAAUUAUUAAUUUAUUAAUAUUUUUUAAUCCCUCAAAUAGCACCAAUUGGUUGAUUAAGCUUAUUUAUUAUUUUUUCAAUUACAUUUGUAAUUUUUAAUGUAAUAAAUUACUAUUCAUAUAUUCCUUCAAUACCUAAAUCAAAUUUAAGUAAUAAAACUCAUUCAACAAAGUCAUUAAAUUGAAAAUGAUAACAAAUUUAUUCUCUGUUUUUGACCCUUCAUCAAGUAUUUUUAAUCUUUCAUUAAAUUGAUUAAGAACUUUUUUAGGAAUUUUAAUGAUUCCAUCAAUAUACUGACUUAUACCAUCUCGAUACCACAUUUUUUGAAAUAAUAUUUUAUUAACACUUCAUAAGGAAUUUAAAACUUUACUUGGUCCUAUAGGAGCAAACGGUUCUACAUUUAUUUUCGUUUCAUUAUUUUCUAUAAUUUUAUUUAAUAAUUUUAUAGGAUUAUUUCCAUAUAUUUUUACAAGAACAAGUCAUUUAACUUUAACUCUAACUUUAGCUCUUCCUUUAUGAUUAUGUUUUAUAUUAUAUGGAUGAAUUAAUAAUACUCAACAUAUAUUUGCUCAUUUAGUUCCUCAAGGAACUCCAGCUAUUUUAAUACCAUUUAUAGUAUGCAUUGAAACUAUUAGUAAUGUAAUUCGACCAGGAACUUUAGCUGUUCGAUUAACAGCUAAUAUAAUUGCUGGACAUCUACUUCUUACUCUUUUAGGAAAUACAGGACCUUCUUUAUCUAUAGUAUUAAUUAGUUUUUUAAUUAUUACACAAAUUGCACUAUUAGUUUUAGAAUCAGCAGUUGCAAUAAUUCAAUCAUACGUAUUUGCUGUUCUAAGAACAUUAUAUUCUAGAGAAGUUAAUUAAUGUCAACACAUUCAAAUCACCCAUUUCAUUUAGUAGACUAUAGUCCAUGACCAUUAACAGCAUCAAUUGGAGCUAUAACAACAGUUGCAGGAAUAGUAAAAUGAUUUCAUCAAUAUGAUAAUUCAUUAUUCUUAUUAGGAAAUGUUAUUACAAUUUUAACUGUGUACCAAUGAUGACGAGAUGUUUCUCGAGAAGGAACAUAUCAAGGUCUUCAUACACUUUCUGUUACUACAGGUUUACGAUGAGGAAUAAUUUUAUUUAUUCUUUCAGAAGUUUUAUUUUUCGUUUCAUUUUUUUGAGCAUUUUUCCAUAGUAGCUUAUCUCCUUCAAUUGAAUUAGGAGCAAUAUGACCACCUUUAGGAAUUACUCCUUUCAAUCCAUUCCAAAUUCCUUUAUUAAAUACUGUAAUUUUACUAACUUCUGGAAUUACUGUAACUUGAACUCAUCAUAGUUUAAUGGAAGGCAAUCAUUCACAAACUACACAAGGAUUAUUUUUUACAGUAUUAUUAGGAAUUUACUUUACAAUUCUUCAAGCUUAUGAAUAUAUUGAAGCUCCAUUCACAAUUGCAGAUUCAGUUUACGGUUCUACUUUCUUUAUAGCAACAGGAUUUCAUGGUCUUCAUGUAUUAAUUGGAACAACUUUUUUAAUUGUUUGUUUAGGUCGACAUUUAAAUAACCACUUUUCAAAAAAUCACCACUUUGGAUUUGAAGCUGCUGCUUGAUAUUGACAUUUUGUUGAUAUUGUUUGAUUAUUCCUUUAUGUAUCUAUUUACUGAUGAGGAGGAUAAUUUAUUA